rnacentral:rRNA from 1 species
GUGUAACAACUCACCUGCCGAAUGAAUUAGCCCUGAAAAUGGAUGGCGCUGCAGCCUGUUACCGAUACUAGACCAUUAAAGCAAAUGUGAGGCUUUAAUGAGUAAGAGGGCGUGAACAUGGAUUAGAAGGCCAAUUUGUGAAGAUGGCUGGAUCAAUGUUUAGUGCAGAUCUUGGUGGUAGUAGC